rnacentral:rRNA from 1 species
CCUACGGGUGGCUGCAGUGGGGGAUAUUGGACAAUGGGCGCAAGCCUGACCCAGCAACGCCGCGUGAGGGAAGAAGGCUUUCGGGUUGUAAACUUCUUUUAAGAGGGAAGAGGCGAAGACGGUACCUCUUGAAUAAGCCACGGCUAAAUACGUGCCAGCAGCCGCGGUAAUACGUAGGGGGCAAGCGUUUUCCGGAUUUACUGGGUGUAAAGGGCGUGCAGGCGGGCUGACAAGCCAGAUGUGAAAUCCGGGGGCUCAACCCCCGAACUGCAUUUGAAACUGUUGGUCUGGAGUAUCGGAGAGGCAGGCGGAAUUCCUAGUGUAGCGGUGAAAUGCGUAGAUAUUAGGAGGAACACCAGUGGCGAAGGCGGCCUGCUGGACGACAACUGACGGUGAGGCUCGAAAGCGUGGGGAGCAAACAGGAUUAGAUACCCGGGUAGUC